rnacentral:rRNA from 1 species
GAUGAACGCUGGCGGCGUGCCUAAUACAUGCAAGUCGAGCGAACGGACGAGAAGCUUGCUUCUCUGAUGUUAGCGGCGGACGGGUGAGUAACACGUGGAUAACCUACCUAUAAGACUGGGAUAACUUCGGGAAACCGGAGCUAAUACCGGAUAAUAUCUUGAACCGCAUGGUUCAAAAGUGAAAGACGGUCUUGCUGUCACUUAUAGAUGGAUCCGCGCUGCAUUAGCUAGUUGGUAAGGUAACGGCUUACCAAGGCAACGAGGCAUAGCCGACCUGAGAGAGUGAUAGGCCACACUGGAACUGAGACACGGUCCAGACUCCUACGGGAGGCAGCAGUAGGGAAUCUUCCGCAAUGGGCGAAAGCCUGACGGAGCAACGCCGCGUGAGUGAUGGAGGUCUUCGGAUCGUAAAACUCUGUUAUUAGGGAAGAACAUAUGUGUAAGUAACUGUGCACAUCUUGACGGUACCUAAUCAGAAAGCCACGGCUAACUACGUG